rnacentral:rRNA from 1 species
UGGGAAUUUUGGACAAUGGGCGCAAGCCUGAUCCAGCCAUGCCGCGUGCGGGAAGAAGGCCUUCGGGUUGUAAACCGCUUUGUCAGGGAAGAAAUCUUCUGAGUUAAUACCUCGGGAGGAUGACGGUACCUGAAGAAUAAGCACCGGCUAACUACGUGCCAGCAGCCGCGGUAAUACGUAGGGUGCAAGCGUUAAUCGGAAUUACUGGGCGUAAAGCGUGCGCAGGCGGUUUUGUAAGACAGAGGUGAAAUCCCCGGGCUCAACCUGGGAACUGCCUUUGUGACUGCAAGGCUUGAGUGCGGCAGAGGGGGAUGGAAUUCCGCGUGUAGCAGUGAAAUGCGUAGAUAUGCGGAGGAACACCGAUGGCGAAGGCAAUCCCCUGGGCCUGCACUGACGCUCAUGCACGAAAGCGUGGGGAGCAAACAGGAUUAGAUAGCCCUGGUAGUCCACGCCCUAAAACGAUGUCAACUGGUUGUUGGGAAGGUUCCUUCUCAGUAACGUAGCUAACGCGUGAAGUUGACCGCCUGGGGAGUACGGCCGCAAGGUUG